rnacentral:lncRNA from 1 species
GAAACAUAUCAGUGCUGUACAAAGGAAUUAAGAUGAAUACAUAAUAAAAUUUCAUCUGCUUUGUUACUGCGAUCUGUGUACGAUCUGCUUUGUUACUACGAUCUGUGUAUAUGAUCUACGAUGCUGUGUAGUGCUUGCCUUACCUAAUUAAGAUGAAUACAGUUAAGAAAAUAGUAAAUUUUACUAAUGCUAAGUUAUUCUGUAAGAGAUGCAAAACUAUCUUUAAAAUGCUAAUGAACAGUAAAGAAAAAUAUAUAUGUAAGAUGGGAACUGGAGUGUAUACUAUCCCAUGCAAUAAUUUCAUUCUCAAUUGUAAAGAAGAACACAGUGGGUCACCAAGCAAAACUUGGCUGAUAGAUUAAUGGAACAUUGAGAAGAUAUGGUGAAAGAUAAUGUGAGAACAACUCUUGUGAAACAAGCCUACCAAUAUGAUUUAAAAAUUAACAGGAAUAAAACAAGUAAUUAACCUGUAUUUAACUCUCAAAGAAGGUUUUUUUAAAAGAAUCAAUAGAACUAGUAAGAAGAACCAAAUAUAAUGAUGUAUAAAUGAUACAAAACAGGAAAGGCUCCCUAUUCUGUGGGUUUACUUUACAAAAGAGGCCUAAGAAUUCAUAUUUUUAUUUCUGUUAAAAAUAACUAAAAUAUAAG